rnacentral:snRNA from 14 species
GUGCUCGCUUCGGCAGCACAUAUACUAAAAUUGGAACGAUACAGAGAAGAUUAGCAUGGCCCCUGCGCAAGGGAGUGUGCAGAGUACCUAACUGUA